CACACACUCACAUGGAUAAUGGCACUGUUUCAGUCACAAGGGUUAUCAAUACUUCUGUUGAUCAUCAGAACACAGUUUGCUGGUGCUGAGUCUUGUUCUCAUGUAGAUGCGCCACAAUUCAUCACAGCUACUCAGGAAGAGGUAGCUGUCCUCCCCUGUUUCACAUCAAUCCACAAAGAUUUAGCAGCCAGAGUGAAAUGGACAAAACUUUCUCUUAAACCUGAGGACAUCUUGGUGUGGCCUGAUAAUCCAUCUGUGGCCCAUAAAUCAGAACGUGUGGCCUUCGAGUCGGGAGCGGAUGUUGUGGUGGCUGGAAACCUGUCCCUUUCUCUAAGAGAUGUAAGGAAAUCUGACGAAGGGCUUUAUAGUUGCAAGGUCUGGUUGGGAUGGAGUUGUGUCCAUGUGAAAAACAUCACUCUAAAAGUGAAAGAAUGCAAAAUUCUACAUUCAGUUAUGGCAGCACCCAACGGGAUAGCUACCCUGCCUUGCCUGUUGAACAUGACAACAGGAAAUCCCCAAAUAUCAUCAGUGGCCUGGGCAGAGAUCAAGGGAGACAGUGAGAUCCAAAUACUUCAAUACCCUACAGAUAUCUCCAACCAAACAUUCCUAGGAAAAAGGGUGAGCUUUGGAGGGAAUCUCAGUUCAGGAGAUGCAUCUUUGACUCUUUCCAUGGUGGAGUACAGUCACAGCCGAUGGUACAGAUGUAGGUUGCAGAUGGGACAAAAUGAACGCUGCUUUGAGGUCAAGCUGCAGGUUAAAGAACAGGAAGAGGAGAACCUGGUUGUUAG